UUUUGAGUGGUAAGCUGGAUUUAUUUUCUGGAUUUAUUCUAAUAGUCUGAAUAGUUUUGAUGGUGUGUUUGAAUGCAGGGCAGGUUUGGUUUUCUGUCUACUGAUGCAGAUUUGCGGUUUAAUUGUUUUUUUGUAAAGUUUUCCAUGCCGGUUGUUUCGAUUUGAAGUUGCAGGCUGAUGCAGGGCUUUUAGCAGCAAGGUCAUAUUGGCUUGGAAUGAUGAAGUGAGGCUUUGGCAAAGUUUUAAAGGAAGAGUGGCAUGAAGUUUUAGGAUCAAAGAAGAACAUGGGCUUAUUAGAACUAGGCAGAUGAAAUCAAUUUGAAUCAAAAUGUAAUUUGACUCUUUGUAACUUUAUUCAAACCUUGAACUUUCCCUCCACUUUUGUUGAUUAGAAA